rnacentral:rRNA from 1 species
GGGGGGGGGGGGGGGGGGGGGGGGGGGGUGCGGGGCGGGCGAACGGGCGCGGGGCUUGCUCCUCGGACGUGAGGGUCGGAGGGGGGGGUACCACGUAGAUCACCUGCCGAUAAGGCUGGGAUACCUUCGGGACACCGGGGCGAAUACCGGAUCAUAUCUUGAACCGCAUGGUUCAAUAGUGCCAGACUGUUUUGCUGUCCCUUAUCGACGGAUCCGCGCCGCAUUAGCUAGUUGGUAAGGUAACGGCUUACCAAGGCAACGAUGCGUAGCCGACCUGAGAGGGUGAUCGGCCACACUGGAACUGAGACACGGUCCAGACUCCUACGGGAGGCAGCAGUAGGGAAUCUUCCGCAAUGGGCGAAAGCCUGACGGAGCAACGCCGCGUGAGUGAUGAAGGUCUUCGGAUCGUAAAACUCUGUUAUUAGGGAAGAACAAAUGUGUAAGUAACUAUGCACGUCUUGACGGUACCUAAUCAGAAAGCCAGGGCUAACUACGUG